UUUUUUAAUUGAAAACUUGUAUGAAUGGUUGAAUGAAAUAUUAACUGUUUCAUAAAAAUUAUAAUAGAAUUUUAUUUUUUAGUUAAAAAGCUAAAAUAAAAUUAAAAGACGAGAAGACCCUAUAAAGUUUUAUAAUUUAUUAUUAAUUAUUUUUUUAGAAAUUUUAUUAUUUUUUAUAUAUUAUUAUUUUAUUGGGGUGAUAAUAAAAUUUAUUAAACUUUUGUUAUUAAUUAACAUUAAUUUAUGAAUUUAUGAUCCAAUAUUAUUGAUUAAAAAUUUAAAUUACUUUAGGGAUAACAGCGUAAUUUUUUUUUAAAGUUCAUAUUAAUAAAAAAGUUUGC
rnacentral:rRNA from 1 species